rnacentral:rRNA from 1 species
AGUGAACGCUGGCGGUAGGCCUAACACAUGCCAGUCGAACGGCAGCACAGUAAGAGCUUGCUCUUACGGGUGGCGAGUGGCGGACGGGUGAGGAAUACAUCGGAAUCUACUUUUUCGUGGGGGAUAACGUAGGGAAACUUACGCUAAUACCGCAUACGACCUACGGGUGAAAGCAGGGGAUCUUCGGACCUUGCGCGAUUGAAUGAGCCGAUGUCGGAUUAGCUAGUUGGCGGGGUAAAGGCCCACCAAGGCGACGAUCCGUAGCUGGUCUGAGAGGAUGAUCAGCCACACUGGAACUGAGACACGGUCCAGACUCCUACGGGAGGCAGCAGUGGGGAAUAUUGGACAAUGGGCGCAAGCCUGAUCCAGCCAUACCGCGUGGGUGAAGAUGGCCUUCGGGUUGUAAAGCCCUUUUGUUGGGAAAGAAAAGCAGCAGGUUAAUACCCCGCUGUUCUGACGGUACCCAAAGAAUAAGCACCAGCUAACUUCGUG